AGCUCCCCCUUCAGUCCGUUCAGCCAUUUUACCGACAGGUUGCAGUAGAGCUGAACAGUAAAAAAAGUCUGUUUCUAAUAAACAAACAGAGAGACUUCAGUCCAGUGCAGUAAAAGCCUCUAAAAGCGGGAGAAAUUAACUCCUUUAAACUCCUGAAAUUAUGUCCUUUAAAGACAGGUAACUAGCUGAGACCCCUCCCUCCACAACCUUCAGUACACGGAGCUUCAACAGGCAGAGAUAAACCGGCUUCACUUCAGCCUGAACUUCAUUCAAACCACCAAUGACAGCCACACUGUUCUGGACAUCAUCAAGAUGCACUUUACAGAGGAUGCGGUGGAAACCCUCUUGAGGAGUAGGGAGACUGGACUGUUUACACCGGUCAUGCCACUGGUAGACAAAAGCAGGCAGUAGAAGAUGAAGAUGAACAUUCCCUGGAAGGUGUUGAAGAUGGUGAAGAGAUAAGCUAGCACCACUGAGGUCUCACUGAUGAAGA